ACACCUGGCACGUACAGGAGGAGAGCUUUAUUCUGCUCCUGCUUCCGCCCGUAGUGAGCUGGCUCCAAGGCGGGACAGCCUGGCAGAGACUCGGGGCAGAGCAGAGCGGCUCCCAGCAUGGGAGACAGGAAGCCGAGAGAAGGGAGGAGCCAGGGCGGGACACGGGACCCGCCCUUCCAGGCCCUGCCCUAGUGAGCCGCCUCCUAAUGGCUCAAUUUGCUAUGAACUCAUCAGGAAGACCUGCGCCGGAAGAGGAGAGCCGGCCCCGGGUCAGCCUGGUGCGCGGCUGCCCAGGAGGGGUGGCAAAGGUACACCUCAAGUCAGGAGGCCUCAGGAAGGCCAUUGAGGAAAGUCAUAACCACAAAGAACACUGAGCUCAUAACCAAAACUUCGGCCUAAACCAGCUUCCACCCUCAGAACAUGGCUGGGGUAAGCUCUCCUGUCUAGAA
rnacentral:lncRNA from 1 species